rnacentral:rRNA from 1 species
AAAUUGAAGAGUUUGAUCAUGGCUCAGAUUGAACGCUGGCGGCAGGCCUAACACAUGCAAGUCGAACGGUAACAGGAAGAAGCUUGCUUCUUUGCUGACGAGUGGCGGACGGGUGAGUAAUGUCUGGGAAACUGCCUGAUGGAGGGGGAUAACUACUGGAAACGGUAGCUAAUACCGCAUAACGUCGCAAGACCAAAGAGGGGGACCUUCGGGCCUCUUGCCAUCGGAUGUGCCCAGAUGGGAUUAGCUAGUAGGUGGGGUAACGGCUCACCUAGGCGACGAUCCCUAGCUGGUCUGAGAGGAUGACCAGCCACACUGGAACUGAGACACGGUCCAGACUCCUACGGGAGGCAGCAGUGGGGAAUAUUGCACAAUGGGCGCAAGCCUGAUGCAGCCAUGCCGCGUGUAUGAAGAAGGCCUUCGGGUUGUAAAGUACUUUCAGCGGGGAGGAAGGGAGUAAAGUUAAUACCUUUGCUCAUUGACGUUACCCGCAGAAGAAGCACCGGCUAACUCCGUGCCAGCAGCCGCGGUAAUACGGAGGGUGCAAGCGUUAAUCGGAAUUACUGGGCGUAAAGCGCACGCAGGCGGUUUGUUAAGUCAGAUGUGAAAUCCCCGGGCUCAACCUGGGAACUGCAUCUGAUACUGGCAAGCUUGAGUCUCGUAGAGGGGGGUAGAAUUCCAGGUGUAGCGGUGAAAUGCGUAGAGAUCUGGAGGAAUACCGGUGGCGAAGGCGGCCCCCUGGACGAAGACUGACGCUCAGGUGCGAAAGCGUGGGGAGCAAACAGGAUUAGAUACCCUGGUAGUCCACGCCGUAAACGAUGUCGACUUGGAGGUUGUGCCCUUGAGGCGUGGCUUCCGGAGCUAACGCGUUAAGUCGACCGCCUGGGGAGUACGGCCGCAAGGUUAAAACUCAAAUGAAUUGACGGGGGCCCGCACAAGCGGUGGAGCAUGUGGUUUAAUUCGAUGCAACGCGAAGAACCUUACCUGGUCUUGACAUCCACRGAASUUUYCAGAGAUGGAUUGGUGCCUUCGGGAACYGUGAGACAGGUGCUGCAUGGCUGUCGUCAGCUCGUGUUGUGAAAUGUUGGGUUAAGUCCCGCAACGAGCGCAACCCUUAUCCUUUGUUGCCAGCGGUCCGGCCGGGAACUCAAAGGAGACUGCCAGUGAUAAACUGGAGGAAGGUGRGGAUGACGUCAAGUCAUCAUGGCCCUUACGACCAGGGCUACACACGUGCUACAAUGGCGCAUACAAAGAGAAGCGACCUCGCGAGAGCAAGCGGACCUCAUAAAGUGCGUCGUAGUCCGGAUUGGAGUCUGCAACUCGACUCCAUGAAGUCGGAAUCGCUAGUAAUCGUGGAUCAGAAUGCCACGGUGAAUACGUUCCCGGGCCUUGUACACACCGCCCGUCACACCAUGGGAGUGGGUUGCAAAAGAAGUAGGUAGCUUAACCUUCGGGAGGGCGCUUACCACUUUGUGAUUCAUGACUGGGGUGAAGUCGUAACAAGGUAACCGUAGGGGAACCUGCGGUUGGAUCACCUCCUUACCUUAAAGAAGC